GCUGGAGUUGCUAGUAAUCGCGAAUCAGCAUGUCGCGGUGAAUACGUUCCCGGGGCCUUGUACACACCGCCCGUCACACCAUGAGAGUUGGCAAUACCCAACGUACGUGAUCUAACCCGCAAGGGAGGAAGCGUCCUAAGGUAGGGUCAGCGAUUGGGGUGAAGUCGUAACAAGGUAGC
rnacentral:rRNA from 1 species